AUGUGCAUUCAUACAAUUUCUUUUUUAAUUUUAUACUUACUAACACAUGUUUUAAUCGUUGCAAUUUCCUUCAUUUUAAUUUUUAUACCGCUUAUGCUCCUAACGAGUUUGUUUACUGUGAAGGUUUCUGAAAAUCGUUUCAAGUAUUUAUUCCCGCAUAGCGCGUCCACAAUUCCUACACUUCUCCCUUUUACCUUUUUAUUGUAUUUUACUAUUCUGAUUUAA